rnacentral:rRNA from 1 species
UAGCGGAGGAAAAGAAACUAACUAGGAUUGCCUCAGUAACAGCGAGUGAAGCGGCAACAGCCCACACUGAAAAUCGCUUCGGCGAAUUGUACAGUGAAGACGUCAACCUUACUGUAGCGUGCUCAUGUAACUCGGUUGGAACACCGGACCAAAGAGGGUGCAAGUCCCGUGCCGUGAGCGUGUAGCAGAUAGGUGUCGUUCUAAGAGUCGGGUAGUUUGGGAUUGCUGCCCUAAAUGGGAGGGAGACUCCUUCUAAGGCUAAAUAAUGACGAGAGACCGAUAGCAAACAAGUACUGUGAAGGAAAGAUGAAAAGAACUUUGGAAAGAGAGUUAAAAGUUUUGAAAUCGCUGAGGAGGAAGCAGUGUGCCUGGUACAGCAUCUUACAAAACUGUCGUAAGCGGCAGGGGGAGUAGGUUGCAGAGUCAUUAUCUUGGGAGGUUGCUAGUAGUGUAUACUGUGAGUAGCACGUUUUAGUAGCUGAUCGAAUGAUGGCGCUAGGUGCACUGGCCCGUCUUGAAACACGGACCAAGGAGUCCAGCCUAUGUGCGAGUAGAGGGGCUGAACCCCACAUGCGUAACGAAAGUGAGCUCUGGCGCAGCAGAGGCCGCAAUAGCGAGCUCAGCAGAUAGGCUGGGACCCGAAAGAUGGUGAACUAUGCUUGGGGAAGGUGAAGCCAGGGGAAACUCUGGUGGAGGCUUGUAGAGGUACUGACGUGCAAUUCGCUCGUAAAA